rnacentral:tRNA from 1 species
GGUAAAAUGGCUGAAUAUAGGCGAUAAAUUGUAAAUUUAUAUAUGAACAUAGUUCUUUUACCA